CCUACGGGGGGCAGCAGUGAGGAAUAUUGGUCAAUGGACGAGAGUCUGAACCAGCCAAGUAGCGUGAAGGAUGACUGCCCUAUGGGUUGUAAACUUCUUUUAUAUGGGAAUAAAAUGUUCCACGUGUGGGAUUUUGUAUGUACCAUAUGAAUAAGGAUCGGCUAACUACGUGCCAGCAGCCGCGGUACUACGGAGGAUCCGAGCGUUAUCCGGAUUUAUUGGGUUUAAAGGGAGCGUAGGUGGAUUGGUAAGUCAGUUGUGAAAGUUUGCGGCUCAACCGUAAAAUUGCAGUUGAAACUGGCAGUCUUGAGUACAGUAGAGGUGGGCGGAAUUCGUGGUGUAGCGGUGAAAUGCUUAGAUAUCACGAAGAACACCGAUUGCGAAGGCAGUUCACUGGACUGCAACUGACACUGAGGCUCGAAAGUGUGGGUAUCAAACAGGAUUAGAUACCCUGGUAGUC
rnacentral:rRNA from 1 species